rnacentral:rRNA from 1 species
GAUGAACGCUGGCGGCGUGCCUAAUACAUGCAAGUCGAGCGAAGCGGGGACGGGUGAGUAACACGUGGAUAACCUCCUAUAAGACUGGGAUAACUUCGGGAAACGGGACCUAUACCGGAAACUUCUCGAAUGAUCCUCGCUGCAUUAGCUAGUUGGUAAGGUAACGGCUUACCAGGGCAACUAUGCAUAGCCGACCUGAGAGGGGGAUCGGCCACACUGGAACUGAGACACGGUCCAGACUCCUACGGGAGGCAGCAGUAGGGAAUCUUCCGCAAUGGGCGAAAGCCUGACGGAGCAAUGCCGCGUGAGUGAUGAAGGUCUUCGGAUCGUAAAACGCUGUUAUUAGGGAGGCGGUACCUAAACAGAAAGCCACGGCUAACUACGUGCCAGCAGCCGCGGUAAUUC